UACGUAGGGGGCAAGCGUUUGUCCGGAUUUAUUGGGCGUAAAGAGCGUGUAGGCGGCCAGGUAGGUCUGCUGUGAAAACUCGAGGCUUAACCUCGAGCUGUCGGCGGAAACCAUCUGGCUAGAGUCCGGAAGAGGAGAAUGGAAUUCCCGGUGUAGCGGUGAAAUGCGCAGAUAUCGGGAAGAACACCCGUGGCGAAGGCGGCAUCCUGGACCGACACUGACGCUGAGGAGCGAAAGCGUGGGUAGCAAACAGG
rnacentral:rRNA from 1 species